UGUAACACCGGUUUCGCGUCAACGACAGUAUGUUUCCGUCAAUGAAAGACUUGUAGGCAGAGCGACAUAAUCAGUUCUGCCCACUUUUAAGCAUGGCUGGAGUAGCAUUCGCCAGUCUGAAAUGUGCGCUUUUUGUUGCGGUCAGGAAGAAACUGGCGGAGUGUUUAUAACAGCCAAUGGUUAUGCGGACUGCAAGACGGGGUGUGCGUAACGUAUGUGCUGGGCGUCAGAUGAUUUCGAGUCGUGUAUAAAUUAUCGUAGUGGUAUGUAUAAAGGUGGCAGUUGUACAACUUAACCGAGAAGACACAUUUAGCCAAUAACCGCUGAACUAUUUGUCUUUGUGAGGGUUUUGGCUGCCCUAGCUUCUGUACCGUAAUUCCACAAACAGAAGUGCAUUAAAAUACAUGAGGCGGCUAGCUUGACCGGUUGUUCUCAUGUGGCGGCUCACUUGACUGCGGUGUAGGUAGACAGUGAAACACAGGUCUAAAAAUGCCCAAGAAAUCACAGUUUGAUCAUCGAAAAAGCAAGAACCAGAAGCAGAACAAACAAAAAUCUAAAGACUCAGGAGAAAUGAACACAGAGAAACUUAUGAGACGAAACAGCAAGGAGAAAUUGUAUGUAAAUUUUUCUCACGAUCAGGCUGACGAGUCUCGUUCUGGUCCACAGGAGAAGCUCCAGGAUGAGAAAUCAUGAUGUUAACUUCCACUAUGUGACGGGGUUCAGUCUCCAUCCUGGACAGCACACUGUUUACUGUUACACAAACUACUCAGUGACUGAACUACUGGAUCUGCACUUGUGUUGCUGUGUCAUUCUCACACACACACACACGCACAUCAGAUCAGAUCAAAUGAUGUUAGACACGUUUUGCUCUGUCGAAUGAACUUUAUUGAUUUGAUCCAAGACCAACGACGAGAUGAUCCCAAGGUUUAUAUAUCCUGGACCAGGCCGAAUCCUGAGCAGCUACUGUGAUGGUCAUGGAGGAGUGGAGAACAUGAGACUGAUUCCUGUGACGCUCCAGAGACAGACGAGUCUUCGCUGAGGCCAGCUUCCAGCCUCCGCCGCUGAGACUGCAGCUCUGCACAAGACGUUUGGCCAGCGGAGAAAUUAAAAUGGUCGUGCCCAACUGAGUCUGGUUUCUCUCAAGGUUUUUUUCUUCACUUCCGCCAUUAGUGAAGUUUUUUUUCCCUCUCCGCUGUCGCCACUGGCUUGCAUGGUUCAGGAUCUAUAGAGCUGCGCAUCGUUGGAUUUCCUCUUCAGUGUUUGGACUCUCAGUAGUGAUUAUUAAACCACACUGAA